rnacentral:rRNA from 1 species
CCUACGGGUGGCAGCAGUGAGGAAUAUUGGUCAAUGGGCGCGAGCCUGAACCAGCCAAGUCGCGUGAGGGAAGACGGCCCUACGGGUUGUAAACCUCUUUUGCCGGGGAGCAACGGGCGCCACGUGUGGCGCCACUGAGAGUACCCGGAGAAAAAGCAUCGGCUAACUCCGUGCCAGCGGCCGCGUGAAUAGGGGGGAGGCGAGGGUUAUCCGGAUUUAUUGGGUUUAAAGGGUGCGUGGGCGGCGCGUAAAGUCAGUGGUCAAAUUGAGGGGCUCAACCCCUUCCCGCCAUUGAAACUGGCGCUCUUGAGUGGAAGAGAGGUAUGCGGAAUGCGUGGUGUAGCGGUGAAAUGCAUAGAUAUCACGCAGAACCCCGAUUGCGAAGGCAGCAUGCCGGCUUCCUACUGACGCUGAAGCACGAAAGCGUGGGGAUCGAACAGGAUUAGAUACCCGUGUAGUC